rnacentral:lncRNA from 1 species
AAUAACUGUAUAAACUGAUAAAAGGUGUCCAUAUGGUCAUUUAUAUCGAUCUAUAUAGAAAUAUAUGUAAGUAUUAUCAAUGCGUAGGGAUGCAUGUGUGUGAGCAUAUCAGUGUAUAGAUAACUGAUAGCAAGUUUAUACAUAAACGUAUAACCAUAUCAGUAUAUGCAUAUCGUAUAUAUACACAUUGUAUAUAAAUAUAAACUGGUAAUAAGUACGUGGAACGCAUGUGCGUGCACAUAUGCGUGCGUAUAUACUUUGAUAUUUGUAUAUAACUGAUAGCAAGCAACUGUAUGCAUAGCACAUAACUAUAUCAGUAUAUACAUAUCGUAUAUAUGUGUAUAUAAACACACAUCUGUCCAUACACAACACGUAUAUAUGUGUAAUAUAUAUAUCUGUGAGUGUGAGUGUGAGUGUGAGUGUGAGUGUGUGAGUGUGAGUGUGUGAGUGUGAGUGUGAGUGUGAGUGUCAGUGUCUGUGGAUGUAGUAUAUAACUCAGUGUACAUAUAUACCUCCAUAACUGUAUAUGCACUAAUUAAUGCGUAAGGGUGUAUGUGCGUGCGCAUAUCAGUGUAUAUAUACAUUGAUAAUUGUAAAUAACUGAUAGCAAGCAACUGUAUAUAUAGGCGCAUAAAUAUGUCAGUAUAUACAUAUUAUAUAUACACACAUCAGUCCGUACACAACACGCAUAUAUAUGUAAUAUAUAGAUAUAGCUUUGAGUGUGAGUGUGACUGUGACUGUGACUGUGAAUGUGAGUGUGUGUGAGUGAGAGUGUGAGAGCACGUGUGUGUGAGUAUAUGGAUGUAGUACAUAAAUCAGUGUACAUAUCAUAAAUAUACACACAUCAGUCCAUACACAAUACGCAUGUAUGUGUAAUAUAUAUAUCUGAGUGUGAGUGUGACUGUAAGUGUGUGUGAGUGUAAAUGUGAGUACGUGUGUGUGUGUGGGUAUAGUAUAUAAAUCAAUGUACAUAUAUGUUCAUAACUGUAUCUAUACAGUUAUGCACUUCACACAUAUACGUAUAUCAGUAUAUACACAUUGUCUAUACAGACAUCACACACACAUAUCAAUGUAAUUUUUACACACUAAUAAUAGUAUAUAUAGCUGAUACCUAAUGUAUACGUACACGCAUAAACAUAUCAGUAUAUACAUAUCGUAUAUAUACAAACAUCAAAAUACACAACAAGCAUAUAUGUGUAUAUAUAUAUAUUUAUGUGUAUGACCAUAUAUACACUUAUUAUCAGUUUAUAUAGUUAUUAAUGUAUAUAUACACUGAUUCAUAUACUACACACACACAUUUAUAUAUAUACUACACAUAUAUGCAUGUUGUGUAUAGACUGAUGUGGGUAUAUUUACAAUAUGUCUAUGCGUGUAUGUAUACACUUGCUCGCUAUCAGUUAUAUACAAUUAUACAUGUAUAUAUAUAAUGAUAUGCUCACGUGGAUGCACCUUUACGCAUUGAUUAGUAAAUGUAUAUACAUGCAUUUUAUAUACACUAAUAUAUAUGAUAAUAUAGACACUUAUUAGCAGUUUAUAUGUAUAUAUAUACAGUGUUUACUAUACGAUAUAUAUAUACUGAUACAUUUAUGCGUGUAUGUAAACACUUGCCGUCAUUAACAUAUAUAGUGUUUAUAUAUACGAUAUGUAUAUAUUGAUAUAUUUAUGCAUGUAUGUAUACACUUGCUAUCUGUUACAUAUACAAUGAUAUGCACACGCAUAUGCAUCAUUAUGCAUUGAUAAGUUCAUACAUAUAUUACGUAUACACUGAUAUAUAUGAGCAUAUAGAUACUUAUUAUCAGUUUAUCGGUUAUUAACUUAUAUGUACACUGAUAUAUAUAUAUAUAUGCACACUCAAACGCAUAUGUAUAAUGUAUAAGACCAUGUAUAUACUUAUUAUCAAUAAUACAUACAAUUAUUAAAAUAAUUUGUGUACAUAUAUAUAUAUAGCAAUACAUAUCAUUGUUUCUAAUGUAUAU